GAUGAACGCUGGCGGCGUGCCUAAUACAUGCCAGUCGAGCGAACGGACGAGAAGCUUGCUUUUCUGAUGUUAGCGGCGGACGGGUGAGUAACACGUGGAUAACCUACCUAUAAGACUGGGAUAACUUCGGGAAACCGGAGCUAAUACCGGAUAAUAUUUUGAACCGCAUGGUUCAAAAGUGAAAGACGGUCUUGCUGUCACUUAUAGAUGGAUCCGCGCUGCAUUAGCUAGUUGGUAAGGUAACGGCUUACCAAGGCAACGAUGCAUAGCCGACCUGAGAGGGUGAUCGGCCACACUGGAACUGAGACACGGUCCCGACUCCUACGGGAGGCAGCAGUAGGGAAUCUUCCGCAAUGGGCGAAAGCCUGACGGAGCAACGCCGCGUGAGUGAUGAAGGUCUUCGGAUCGUAAAACUCUGUUAUUAGGGAAGAACAUAUGUGUAAGUAACUGUGCACAUCUUGACGGUACCUAAUCAGAAAGCCACGGCUAACUACGUG
rnacentral:rRNA from 1 species